rnacentral:rRNA from 1 species
CAGUCGCCACGGUAAAACGGAGGGUGCGAGCGUUAAUCGGAUUUACUGGGCGUAAAGCGUGCGUAGGCGGCUUUUUAAGUCGGAUGUGAAAUCCCUGAGCUUAACUUAGGAAUUGCAUUCGAUACUGGGAAGCUAGAGUAUGGGAGAGGAUGGUAGAAUUCCAGGUGUAGCGGUGAAAUGCGUAGAGAUCUGGAGGAAUACCGAUGGCGAAGGCAGCCAUCUGGCCUAAUACUGACGCUGAGGUACGAAAGCAUGGGGAGCAAACAGGAUUAGAUACCCCCGUAGUCCCUGUCUCUUAUAC